rnacentral:rRNA from 1 species
AACACGUGGACAACUACCUCCGGACGGGUAUAAACCCGGGAAACUGGGUAUAAUCCCCGAUAGAUCUCGGUCGCUGGAAUGCCCCGAGAUCGAAAGCUCCGGCGCUGGAGGAUGGGUCUGCGGCCUAUCAGGUAGUAGUGGGUGUAGCGUACCUACUAGCCUACGUCGGGUACGGGUUGUGAGAGCAAGAGCCCGGAGAUGGAUUCUGAGACACGAAUCCAGGUUCUACGGGGUGCAGCAGGCGCGAAAACUUUACAAUGCCGGCAACGGCGAUAAGGGAACCUCGAGUGCCAGGUUACAAAUCUGGCUGUCGUGAUGCCUAAAAAGCAUUGCAUAGCAAGGGCCGGGCAAGACCGGUGCCAGCCGCCGCGGUAACACCGGCGGCUCGAGUGGUAACCGUUAUUAUUGGGUCUAAAGGGUCUGUAGCCGGCCGGAUAAGUCUCUUGGGAAAUCCAGCAGCUCAACUGUUGGGCUUUCAGGAGAUACUGUUC